rnacentral:rRNA from 1 species
UACGGAGGGUGCAAGCGUUAAUCGGAAUUACUGGGCGUAAAGCGUGCGUAGGCGGUUCGUUAAGUCUGUUGUGAAAGCCCCGGGCUCAACCUGGGAAUGGCAAUGGAUACUGGCGAGCUAGAGUGUGUCAGAGGAUGGUGGAAUUCCCGGUGUAGCGGUGAAAUGCGUAGAGAUCGGGAGGAACACCAGUGGCGAAGGCGGCUCACUGGACCGGUUCUGACGCUGAGGCGCGAAAGCGUGGGGAGCAAACGGG